UGCCAGCCGCCGCGGUAAUACAGAGGGUGCAAGCGUUAAUCGGAAUUACUGGGCGUAAAGGGCGCGUAGGCGGAUAUUUAAGUUAGAUGUGAAAUCCCUGGGCUUAACCUAGGAACUGCAUUUAAAACUGGGUAUCUGGAGUAUUGUAGAGGGUAGUGGAAUUUCCGGUGUAGCGGUGAAAUGCGUAGAGAUCGGAAGGAACACCAGUGGCGAAGGCGGCUACCUGGACAAAUACUGACGCUGAGGCGCGAAAGCGUGGGGAGCAAACAGGAUUAGAUA
rnacentral:rRNA from 1 species